rnacentral:misc_RNA from 1 species
AUGCGAUAAGUAAUGUGAAUUGCAGAAUUCAGUGAAUCAUCGAAUCUUUGAACGCACCUUGCGCUCCUUGGUAUUCCGAGGAGCAUGCCUGUUUGAGUGUCAUUAAAUUCUCAAUCUUGUGUGAUUUGUUCACAUGCAGAUUGGAUUGCUGGGAGUUUUUGCAGGCCCAUUGAAUGGCUCUGCUCUCCUAAAAUGCAUUAGUUGGUCUCACUUGCUAUGGUCCAAUGGUGUGAUAUUAUCUAUGCCUUGUGCCUUUGCAGUCUUUUGGAGAUCCAGCUUCCAACUGUCCAUUGUUUUGGACAACAACUGACAAUUUUGACCUCAAAUCAGGUAGGACUACCCGCUGAACUUAA